CUAGUUGUACGAAUUCAUAUUCGUAGCAGAUAGCUCAGUAACACGUGGCCAAACUACCCUAUAGACCAGAAUAACCUCGGGAAACUGAGGCUAAUGCUGGAUACUCCUCUAUUCCUGGAAUGGAUUGAGGCACAAACGCUCCGGCGCUAUAGGAUGUGGCUGCGGCCGAUUAGGUAGACGGUGGGGUAACGGCCCACCGUGCCAAUAAUCGGUACGGGUUGUGAGAGCAAGAGCCCGGAGACGGAAUCUGAGACAAGAUUCCGGGCCCUACGGGGCGCAGCAGGCGCGAAAACUUUACACUGCACGACAGUGCGAUAAGGGGACUCCGAGUGCGUGGGCAUAGUGCCCUCGCUUUUGUGUACCGUAGGGAGGUACACGAAUAAGAGCUGGGCAAGACCGGUGCCAGCCGCCGCGGUAACACCGGCAGCUCGAGUGAUGACCGAUAUUAUUGGGCCUAAAGCGUCCGUAGCCGGCCAGGCAAGUCUGUUGGGAAAUCUGCUCGCUCAACGAGCAGGCGUCCAGCAGAUACUGCUUGGCUCGGGACCGAGAGACUCAAGGGGUACGUCUGGGGUAGGAGUGAAAUCCUGUAAUCCUGGACGGACCGCCGAUGGCGAAAGCACCUUGAGAGAUCGGAUCCGACGGUGAGGGACGAAAGCUGGGGUCACGAACCGGAUUAGAUACCCGGGUAGUCCCAGCUGUAAACGAUGCCAGUUAGGUUUGACGCGGGCUACGAGCUCGUGUUGUGCCGCAGUGAAGACGAUAAACUGGCCGCCUGGGAAGUACGUCCGCAAGGAUGAAACUUAAAGGAAUUGGCGGGGGAGCACUACAACCGGAGGAGCCUGCGCUUUAAUUGGAUUCAACGCCUGGGAAUCGAAUUCCCGCGGGCC
rnacentral:rRNA from 1 species